ACGGAAGGCAGCAGUAGGGAAUAUUGCACAAUGGGGGGAACCCUGAUGCAGCAACGCCACGUGUGGGAAGAAGCAUUUCGGUGUGUAAACCACUGUCGUGAGGGAAUAAUGCUUGGUCUCGGCCAAGUUGAAUGUACCUCGAAAGGAAGCACCGGCAAACUUCGUGCCAGCAGCCGCGGUAAUACGAGGGGUGCAAGCGUUGUUCGGAAUCACUGGACGUAAAGGGAGCGCAGGCGGAGAUGCAAGCAGUCUGUACAAUACCGGGGCCCAACCCCGGACCUGCAGACUGGACUGUUUCUCUUGGAUAGUUCAGGGGCAAGCGGAAUUCCUGGUGUAGCGGUGGAAUGCGUAGAGAUCAGGAAGAACACCGAUGGCGAAGGCAGCUUGCUGGGGACUUAUCGACGCUCAUGCUCGAAAGUGCGGGUAGCAAACAGGAUUAGAUACCCUGGUA
rnacentral:rRNA from 1 species